GCUAAGGCUCAGAGAGUGUCAGGGGUUUGUCCUCAGUCUAGGCAGAGAGGUACCUGGGUUUUCCAUCCCUGACAUAGCUCUGGUCUCCUCUUGGCUGGGAUUCCUGGCUUGCCUGCUGUGCUCAUCCUGAGGCGGGGGACUGUCACCUCUGCAGGGAAGACUUCCCGAGUUUGCUGAGCUCUGUCCUGAUUGCUUCAGCAUCAUCUCUCCAAAGACAGCUUCUCUCUCAGGUUCUUUACAUGAGAAGCGGCCCCGCCAUUGCUGUUCUGGAUUUGGUGCCCUCUCUUGGGGUUUACAGGUCCGAUGGGAUUUUGCUUUCUGAGAAAACAGAAGUAGGAGAACCUGACAGCUAAACCUUCCAAAUUUCUGGGUGCCAAGAUUUAGCGUAUAAGGCAGUAAGGACUAAGGACUGGGAUAUGAGGAGUGGAGUCUGCUGGUCCUUCCACCGAGAAAAACUUGUCAAUAGGAAGGGUGGUUUCUACCGUUUCCUCGAAUCCCCUGCCCAGGUCCCUCCUUUCCCUCCCUUCUUCCACUGGGGUUUGUACUACCUCUGGGAGAAACUGGGGCCUGGGAAUCCAACCCUCUGUCCACUGAAGCGUGCCCAGGUCACCCUCGAUUUCGCGUACAACAGCCUCAUACUCAUCUCGCAGUCUCUGGAUGUGGCGUCGGACCAAGAAGCCCCGGACGCAGGCCUGGUGUGAAGAAUAAGGGGGAAAGAAAACGCUUAUCACUGCAAAAGUGGGGGGGGUUCCUGGAGGAUUCUCCUGGAGAGCUCAUCCCAGUGACUCUAAGAGGGGACCUGGCCGCGGGAAAAGGAUAGGUGACGCUGUCAGAACAGUCUCCGGGGGUUCAAGGGAGGAUGCUGGACUGGAUCCCCCUCUUCGAUUUGAGGCCCUUCCCGCCACUUCCUGGAUCCCGCAGGAACGUGUGGUGGGAGUGGAAGGCCGGUGGGGGCCCGUGGGUCCCAGCAUUCGUCAGGGCGGUGGGGGUGGGUCGGUAACUCCGGAGGCGGGCACGAGGGUAGGUGGCCGAACGUGGUAGCUUCAUCUCGUUCGAAGACCCCAGUCCGAGACCCCGUGGUGGGAAUCAUGCACUCCCAGCCCGCUCCGCACCUGCAGCACCGACACCCCGCGAAGCAACCGCUCCCGCUCCAUCCGGGCGCCAACGGACCGGCCGCCUGCCGCGCGCCUGCGCCGUGCGUCACUAGUCCGCGCCGCGCACAGGCCCCGCCCCCGCCGUCUCCACGGCAACCUUGCUCCUCCCGCGGUGGCCGCCAGCUCCUGG
rnacentral:lncRNA from 1 species